UGUGCCUGUGCUGUCACAGUGUGCCUGUGCUGUCAGAGUGUGCCUGUACUGUCACAGUGUGCCUGUGCUGUCAGAGUGUGCCUGUACUGUCAUAGUGUGCCUGUGCUGUCACAGUGUGCCUGUGCUGUCACAGUGUGCCUGUGCUGUCAGAGUGUGCCUGUGCUGUCACAGUGUGCCUGUGCUGUCAGAGUGUGCCUGUGCUGUCACAGUGUGCCUGUACUGUCAGAGUGUGCCUGUGCUGUCACAGUGUGCCUGUGCUGUCAGAGUGUGCCUGUGCUGUCACAGUGUGCCUGUGCUGUCAGAGUGUGCCUGUGCUGUCAGAGUGUGCCUGUACUGUCAGAGUGUGCCUGUGCUGUCACAGUGUGCCUGUACUGUCAGAGUGUGCCUGUGCUGUCAGAGUGUGCCUGUGCUGUCAGAGUGUGCCUGUGCUGUCACAGUGUGCCUGUGCUGUCAGAGUGUGCCUGUGCUGUCACAGUGUGCCUGUGCUGUCAGAGUGUGCCUGUGCUGUCAGAGUGUGCCUGUACUGUCACAGUGUGCCUGUGCUGUCAGAGUGUGCCUGUACUGUCAGAGUGUGCCUGUGCUGUCACAGUGUGCCUGUACUGUCACAGUGUGCCUGUGCUGUCAGAGUGUGCCUGUGCUGUCAGAGUGUGCCUGUGCUGUCACAGUGUGCCUGUGCUGUCAGAGUGUGCCUGUACUGUCACAGUGUGCCUGUGCUGUCAGAGUGUGCCUGUACUGUCAGAGUGUGCCUGUGCUGUCACAGUGUGCCUGUACUGUCAGAGUGUGCCUGUACUGUCACAGUGUGCCUGUGCUGUCACAGUGUGCCUGUGCUGUCACAGUGUUCCUGUGCUGUCACAGUGUGCCUGUGCUGUCACAGUGUGCCUGUACUGUCACAGUGUGCCUGUGCUGUCAGAGUGUGCCUGUACUGUCACAGUGUGCCUGUGCUGUCACAGUAUGCCUGUGCUGUCAGAGUGUGCCUGUACUGUCACAGUGUGCCUGUGCUGUCACAGUGUGCCUGUACUGUCACAGUGUGCCUGUACUUGUGCCUGUGCUGUCACAGUGUGCCUGUGCUGUCGCAGUGUGCCUGUGCUGUCACAGUGUGCCUGUGCUGUCGCAGUGUGCCUGUGCUGUCAC
rnacentral:lncRNA from 1 species